UUUGCCAAACAAAGCAAUGGGAAUAUGAUGAUAACGGUAACACUUGACAUUUCUCACAAGGGCAGGUCUUGGAUGUGACUUCAUUUCCCAGAGCCUGCUGGCUGUCUUCUUUUGUCUGAGUCCUCCCCAUCCUCGCCCAGCCAUCAGCAUGACGCCCAAAUGCCUGGCGCACGUGACAGGCCCAUGGAUCGCUGAGCGAAUGAGUUAAUGAACGAGGACAUCUCCGUUC
rnacentral:lncRNA from 10 species